AGGGAACCCCUUUCUUCCUGUCCCAGGUGCCCCCCAGAACCCAGCCAUGAGUGUCUGCCUGGGAGACGGCCCAAGGGAACCAGAGACCAGGGCAGGCGUGGUUCAUGGGGCCGUCAUGGGAGCUGGUGUCACUGCACUGCUGGCUGGCUGCCUCUGCGCCACCUACUUCUUAGUGAAGAGGACCCA